rnacentral:rRNA from 1 species
GUUAUGGACAUGUGAAUGAAGCUGGUAUUUCAGGCUACAGCACUGAUAGCUGUGAUUCAGGCAUGGCACAUGUUGAUGCACAAGAGAGUUGUUCAUCGUGGUAAGAGGCGUGUCAUCUGUUAUGGUCCAAUGUUUAUGCGGGAUCAGGAGAGGAUGGCGAAUCUAAACUACAUCUACAACUGCAACGACACAGAGGCUCUGCGGAUGCUUCGAAUGAAAAGAACACCAUUUGUCAGGCUUGUGCAGACCUUCAGGAGCGGGCUGCUACAAGAUAGCAUGCACACCAGUGUGGAAGAGCAAGUAGCCAUGUUCCUCCAUGUUGUUGGUCAUAACCACCGAUUCAGGGUUAUGCACAACACCUUAAGGAGAUCAAUGGAGGCCAUCUCCAUGUACUUCAGGCAAGUGUUGUAUGUUCUUGGGAAACUCAGAGGAGAUAUGAUCGUGUCACCAACCGGCCGGACUCCUAUCAAGAUUUGAACUAGCCGAAGAUGGUACCCAUACUUCAAGGUGAGCACUGACAGUAUGUAG